rnacentral:rRNA from 1 species
GACGAACGCUGGCGGCGUACUUAACACAUGCAAGUCGAGCGGAAAGGCCACUUCGGUGGUACUCGAGCGGCGAACGGGUGAGUAACACGUGAGUAAUCUGCCCCUGGCUUUGGGAUAGCCACCGGAAACGGUGAUUAAUACCGGAUACGACCACUUCUCGCAUGGGAUGGUGGUGGAAAGUUUUUUCGGCCAGGGAUGUGCUCGCGGCCUAUCAGCUUGAUGGUGAGGUAAUGGCUCACCAUGGCUUCGACGGGUAGCCGGCCUGAGAGGGUGCCCGGUCACACUGGGAAUGGGACACGGCCCAGACUCCUACGGGAGGCAGCAGUGGGGAAUAUUGGACAAUGGGCGGAAGCCUGAUCCGGCAACGCCGCGUGAGGGAUGACGGCCUUCGGGUUGUAAACCUCUUUCAGCAGGGACGAAGCGCAAGUGACGGUACCUGCAGAAGAAGCACCGGCCAACUACGUGCCAGCCGCCGCCGUAA